rnacentral:rRNA from 1 species
GAGUUUGAUCCUGGCUCAGGACGAACGCUGGCGGCGUGCCUAAUACAUGCAAGUAGAACGCUGACUACUUUAGCUUGCUAGAGUAGAAGGAGUUGCGAACGGGUGAGUAACGCAUAGGUAACCUGCCUACUAGCGGGGGAUAACUAUUGGAAACGAUAGCUAAUACCGCAUAACAGUGUUUAACACAUGUUAGAUGCUUGAAAGAUGCAAUUGCAUCACUAGUAGAUGGACCUGCGUUGUAUUAGCUAGUUGGUGGGGUAACGGCCCACCAAGGCGACGAUACAUAGCCGACCUGAGAGGGUGAUCGGCCACACUGGGACUGAGACACGGCCCAGACUCCUACGGGAGGCAGCAGUAGGGAAUCUUCGGCAAUGGGGGCAACCCUGACCGAGCAACGCCGCGUGAGUGAAGAAGGUUUUCGGAUCGUAAAGCUCUGUUGUAAGAGAAGAACGUGUGUGAGAGUGGAAAGUUCACACAGUGACGGUAACUUACCAGAAAGGGACGGCUAACUACGUGCCAGCAGCCGCGGUAAUACGUAGGUCCCGAGCGUUGUCCGGAUUUAUUGGGCGUAAAGCGAGCGCAGGCGGUUUAAUAAGUCUGAAGUUAAAGGCAGUGGCUUAACCAUUGUUCGCUUUGGAAACUGUUAAACUUGAGUGCAGAAGGGGAGAGUGGAAUUCCAUGUGUAGCGGUGAAAUGCGUAGA